CGGCCCCCCUCUGAGGGCGAGUUCAUCGACUGCUUCCAGAAAAUCAAGCUGGCGAUUAACUUGCUGGUGAGUCCGGUGGCCCCAGCCCUGCCCCACUGUCUGUGCUGAGGGGAGGGUGGAGGCCCCGCCCCGCCCCGGCACCUGCUCACUUGUUCCCACCCCCAGGCAAAGCUGCAGAAGCACAUCCAGAACCCCAGCGCCGCGGAGCUCGUGCACUUCCUCUUCGGGCCUCUGGACCUGGUGCCUGGGGCCGGGCGGCAGGGGCGCGCAGGGUGGGGGCCCAGAGGCCUCUGGAGCAUCUCCCCGGGGUCGGGGUUGGGGCAGCAGGUGCCCGCCUUGGGCAGCCCGGUUCACGCUGUGUGGCCACUCUCCGUGGGGUCCAAAGUCCCUUCCCGAGGGCCAGCCUGUGGAGCUACGGGGGUGCUGGGCCAGGGUCUGUGAGCCUCAGUCCCCUCUGAACCUCACUGUGCCCCAGAUCGUCAACACCUGCAGUGGCCCAGACAUCGCACGCUCCGUCUCCUACCCACUGCUCUCCCGAGAUGCCGUGGACUUCCUGCGCGGCCACCUGGUCCCUAAGGAGAUGUCGCUGUGGGAGUCACUGGGAGAGAGCUGGAUGCGGCCCCGCUCCGAGUGGCCGCGGGAGCCGCAGGUGCCCCUCUACGUGCCCAAGUUCCACAGCGGCUGGGAGCCUCCUGUGGAUGUGCUGCAGGAGGCCCCCUGGGAGGUGGAGGGGCUGGCGUCUGCCCCCAUCGAGGAGGUGAGUCCAGUGAGCCGACAGUCCAUAAGAAACUCCCAGAAGCACAGCCCCACUUCAGAGCCCACCCCCCCGGGGGAUGCCCUACCACCAGUCAGCUCCCCACAUACUCACAGGGGCUACCAGCCAACACCAGCCAUGGCCAAGUACGUCAAGAUCCUGUACGACUUCACAGCCCGAAAUGCCAACGAGCUAUCGGUGCUCAAGGAUGAGGUCCUAGAGGUGCUGGAGGACGGCCGGCAGUGGUGGAAGCUGCGCAGCCGCAGCGGCCAGGCGGGGUACGUGCCCUGCAACAUCCUAGGCGAGGCGCGGCCCGAGGACGCCGGCGCCCCGUUCGAGCAGGCCGGUCAGAAGUACUGGGGCGCCGCCAGCCCGACCCACAAGCUGCCCCCAAGCUUCCCGGGGAACAAAGACGAGCUCAUGCAGCACAUGGACGAGGUCAACGACGAGCUCAUCCGGAAAAUCAGCAACAUCAGGGCGCAGCCGCAGAGGCACUUCCGCGUGGAGCGCAGCCAGCCCGUGAGCCAGCCGCUCACCUACGAGUCGGGUCCGGACGAGGUCCGCGCCUGGCUGGAAGCUAAGGCCUUCAGCCCGCGGAUCGUGGAGAACCUGGGCAUCCUGACCGGGCCGCAGCUCUUCUCCCUCAACAAGGAGGAGCUGAAGAAAGUGUGCGGCGAGGAGGGCGUCCGCGUGUACAGCCAGCUCACCGUGCAGAAGGCCUUCCUGGAGAAGCAGCAAAGUGGGUCGGAGCUGGAAGAACUCAUGAACAAGUUUCAUUCCAUGAAUCAGAGGAGGGGGGAGGACAGCUAGGCCCAGCUGCCUUGGGCUGGGGCCUGCGGAGGGGAAGCCCACCCGCAAUGCAUGGAGUAUUAUUUUUAUAUGUGUAUGUAUUUUGUAUCAAGGACAUGGAGGGGGUGUGGUGCUGGCUAGGGGUCCCUGCCCCUGUCUGGAGGCACAAGGCCCAUCCUUAGGCCAAACAGUACCCAAGGCCUCAGCCCACACCAAGACCAAUCUCAGCCAAACCUGCUGCUUGGUUGUGCCAGCCCCUUGUCCACCUUCUCCUGAGGCCACAGAACUCUCUGGGGCUGGGGCCUCUUUCUCUGGCCUCCCCUGUGCACCUGGGGGGUCCUGGCCCCUGUGAUGCUCCCCCAUCCCCACCCACUUCUACAUCCAUCCACACCCCAGGGUGGGCUGGAGCUCCAGGCUGGCCGGGCUGAACCUCACACACACGCAGAGUUCUGCUCCCUGAGGGGGGCCCGGGAGGGGCUCCAGCAGGAGGCCAUGGGUGCCAUUCGGGGGAAAGUGGGGGAACGACACACACUUCACCUGCAAGGGCCGACAACGCAGGGGACACCGUGCCGGCUUCAGACACUCCCAGCGCCCACCCUUACAGGCCCAGGACUGGAGCUUUCUCCAGCCAAGUUUCAGGCCAAUGAUCCCCGCAUGGUGUUGGGGGUGCUGGUGUGUCUUGGUGCCUGGACUUGAGUCUCACCCUACAGAUGAGAGGUGGCUGAGGCACCAGGGCUAAGCAAUUAAACCAGUUAAGUCUC
rnacentral:sRNA from 1 species